UUGUGGCUAUGUUGAACUGUGGGUCUACAAAGUCCUAGUUGAGAAACCUUUGGUUUUAAACUCAACAUAAGGGCUUUUUUUUUCUCCUUUCUCCUCUUUCAUUUCCUGAUGUGUUUUGGAUACAUGUCUGAUUGGGACUGUGUUCAGUUGAGUACUGUUGGAGAUGCUUUUGAUUUGGAUUCUUUUGGGGAGGCUCAAUCAUCUAACGUUACCAGUCGGAGAUGUCAACAAUAAAGCGGAUUAACGUAUUUCAACGCACUCAAAGUUUUUCUUCAGAAUGGAUAACUCAUUUUUUUCCCACAUGAUGGAUCAUCGUUUCUCAUAUAAGAACUUUAAGACGAUUUCUUUGGUGUAAAAUCAAGGACUAGGUUUCGAGAUUUAUUUUUUCUUUCUCCAUCCUAUAUAAUUAAGAGCAUAUUUUUCAAUGGAUGGCUAAGGAGACAGUGGAGGCUUUUCCAAUGACACCAUCUGAAAUCGUGAUACCUUCCAAUAAGCACCUCCUGUCAGAGCUGCGUAAUGAGAUGGCUGUAACAAACCUAGAAUCAUUAGACUAUAUGGACAAAAGUAUUGGGACACCCCUUCUAAUGAACAGUAUUCAACCCCAAAGAUCAUUGCUCCCUGUGUGGAAAAGAGUCUCCAGUUGGAGAUGUGGGUCUGAACACAUGGAUUCAGUGCAGCAACUGUGAAAGAUGGUACCACUCUGUCUGUGUCAACAUGACGAAAAAACAGAUACACAAAUGUAAGAGACGAAAGUGGUUGUGUGUUUUCUGUAAGUAAAAAGUCCUUUAAAAUUUAAGUUAUAAAAAUAUAUUGUUUAUAUAUUUUUAUUAUUAUUAUUUUUUAAUUUGUUGUUUUGAUCAGUUUCGUCAAAUUCCUUUGUAUAAAUACCAGCUCUGUCAACAUGGCUGUUGUACAGUUGGCUGUUGUUGUUUCAAGUUAGUUUACAGUAUUAACAGGAAAAUUCUGCAUUAUAUAAAUUUAGUCAUUGCAAUGAUGUAAAUAAGGUACGAAUUGUAAAGGCAAUUACCUUGUGCACCAGUAAGGAUUACAUGUGAGGUUGUGUAAGUUGACCACUGUCCCCCUCUAUUAACAUGAACAUGCUUGUUAACAUGAACAAUAAUUAUAUUUUAUAGUAAUAAUUCUAUAAUGUAUCUGUUAACAUCAGUUAAUGUACUGUGAAUUAACAUGAACAAACAUAAAUCAAGUAACAUUAAAAAGAUUAAUAUAUGCAGUAAAAAAUAUAUAUUGUCCAUUGUUAGAUCAUGUUUUUUAAUGCGUUAAAUAGUGUUAACAAAUUAAGCCUAGUUCACACUACACGACUUUACACGUCGGCAGAUCGCUGUGCUGUUCAGACUACAUGACUCUGUGUAAAUGAUCCGCAACCAGGGGUUACACGCUACACGAGCAGACAACAACUCUGUCACCCAACGACUCGAUUCGGUCCCUAAACCACAUUUUGUCAUGAAAACAUGCGAGAAUUGACCUUUAGCAAAGAGCUUGAUUAACAUGCGAUCUGACCAAUCAGAAGGCGUAUAUUAUGUGCAGCCGCUUCGGCCAGUCUUCAUAGAAAUACAUGUUAAAACGGGGUAAAAAAGAUUGUGGUAAUGGUAAUGGCAUGGUAAUGGCAAUAAGCUAAGGUAUUCCUUUAAAGUACUUGUUUUGCGCACCAGAAAAUCUGUCAUGUCCAGCGCUGUAUGCAUGGAUGCAGCGCUUAAGUUAAAAUACUGAGUGAGAAAUAAUAAAAUAAUAUGUUAAAACAUGUGCUCUUAUCAUUCUGUGGACAAAAUCCCAUGAACUUUGCCCCGAAUGGGAGCUUUAUAUGCACAUGUGCGCUCAUCUGUU